AGAAUCUACUAAAAUAUAUUCAAUGUUAGUACAGUUUUCAUAAUAAUUAUAUGAUAAAUAUUAUGAAUGAAAAAUCUUAGAUUUUAUAUUUCACAUUUAUCCAUCCAGAAAUUCAUAUGACCUAUGCUAUUGAUUUCUUCAUCAUUGAUAGCAUUCUUUUAUCAUUUUUAAUAUAUGUAUACGUAAUAGUGACCCGAGAUUAGUGGCUCUCUGCGAUAAAUGGAACAGAAAUACUUAUAAUCAGGCUUGGAUAUUGUUCAAUAAAAGUAUAUAAUUCUUGCUACAUCACUUAAAAUACAUACUGAUUAUAAAAUAUAAUUUUUAAUUAUUCAUUUAUUUCGAAAAAUUUUUAAAUUUCUUUUAAAACUAUUUAUUUUUCCAAUUCUAAGAGAUUUUUUAAGAGAUGAUAAAUUUCUACAAUAUUGACCGUCACUGUGCAAGUUUAUACAUCUAUACAUAAUCAUAUUGGAUCCAUGAAUUUUCUCUCUAAAAAAAUCCAAUUUAUUUUCCACUUUCAGAUAUAUUUGAUUUUGAGUAAUCUGUUCUGAUCAGAAUCAAAAUUUCUGCAAAAUUUUUAAUCAUUUUUAUAAGUGUAAUUUCAUAUACAGGAUGAUUCACACAAAAGUGAUUCAAGUGUAGUGUCGAAAGGAUUUCAUAAACAGAAUACUUCAAACUAAAUUAAUUCAAGAUACAAACAGAUUUAGAACAUUUUCAUACCAAAUCAAAGAUCCUCAACACAGAUACAAGAUUUACAAAAUAUCCUAAAAAUAACACAACUCAAGAAAUGUUCAAAUAAAUUUAAAAUAUAUUUUUUUAACAAAACCGAAGGUAAAUUAAAUCCUUAUCACAAUUUUUUACAAAAUAUAUGUAUAUAAGAUUUCAUGUAGAAUCAAGUAACGUAAUUUAACAUAUAAACAACAAUUCUAAUAGCAGAAUAAGUUUCUAGAGACCUCAUUUCCACCCUCGCCUAAUGCCCUACCCAGGAUUGUAGAUUGUAGAGCGAGUGGUGCAAAGAGGAAAUUUCGCAUGAUCCAGGGGCAAUUCCAUCUGGAAACGGCAUCGAUCGUGCACGUCCACGGUUACCUUAAUGAGUCGGGGAGGGGCUGCCGACGUAAUUAAGAAAAUUGCAGCCGAUCGAGCGUGGAUCUGCCGUGCGCCACGAAAAUCUCGCACGUGCUUGCGAGCAUUAUUCCACCUCGGCUCGAAUAUCAAGCCACGGCGGCUCCUCUAAUGUUCCACCUUUCUCCUGCCGCAGUUUCUUCAUUAUGCAUUCGCCGCGUGUCUCUUCGUUAAACCUCUUUCUUCGACCAAUAGCCAUCUCCUUGACAUCUGUAUUCCACCGAAGCCUCUGUUUACUUUGGCGCCAACGAUAUCGGCCACCAUUCCCAUUACCAUGUUUCUAACCCGUUUCGUCCAAUCUCUUUAACUGGGAGAUCCAGAUAUGGGCUAUAUCGCGUGGUGAAAAUUUAAAUGGAAAUUCAUCGUUUCGCGCAAGAUGUGGCUGCAAUUGGUUUUAUAAUUUUUCACAGUUAUUCGAACCGUUCAAUUUCACGUGCAUCAAGGAAAAUUCAUUCUCUUUGACGCACGAACUCUUAGCGAAGUGAUGUAUUAUGCAACUCGAAAAACGUGUUCUUAUAUGCCAUCAUGAGAAAGUUCUUUAGGAUUCUAAAUUGAAAAUGAAGAAAAUGAUUUUACGAUUUUGUUAUUCUUUAAAUCCGAUAAAUUUGAUUAACAAAAUAACGUGUUAUUGUAUUCAAAUCACGGUU